rnacentral:rRNA from 2 species
CAUUGUCGAUCCUGCAAGCAGAACGACCAGAGA